UUUUCAACCCGGCAACCUGCAAAAAGUUUUGAGGUCUAGAGGUGUCAGUUUGCAACCUAACAGUUCAAAAAAGCCAUUGCAAGAACAAUUUUCAAAAUGAGCAUCACUCCAUCAAUUCUUAGCAGGAUCUCUAUGAUCGUCUUCAUGGUUUCAAUAACUGCAUCGUUCAUCUCCGGAGUUCUUGGUGGUUUCGUCCCUGAAGGUGACAGCCCAGAAUCUGCGCAGACAUUCCGAGAAAAUGCAGACAACCUCCACGAUCAAGAAAUUUUAUUUCAUGGAAAAUCUUAGUUCAUCUUUGUUCAUUGAAAUGUUUAUUCGGAUUAUGUUUAAAUAUAUAUUGUAAACAGGAGAAUUAAUAAUUUAUACCGACGGGCAAG